rnacentral:lncRNA from 1 species
CUGGCCUAAAGAGACAAAUAAAAAGUCUUAUGGGCUUUUUGAAAGAGAAACAGAAAAAGUGAAAGAAACAGGCCAAAUAUCAGACUGUCUAUGCUUUGCAGAUGUGUGCAGUAACCAAGGCCCUGAGGGGUUCACUAGGGAAUCUUAUGGAAAAGACAGGUGAAAAAUAGUGAGGGAAAAGUGACAUAGAGAAAUAAAAGUAGAUGUGAAAUAUUUUGUCCUCAUCUGUGCAUUUCUUCUACUGCCUAGGGUGAUGGAGCUGACUCCGUUGGAACUGACUGCUGCUGCCAUUUUUCUGACAGGAUGAAUGAAGUCCAGAGUGUUCAAAGUAUCAGAGGAGGAAAACUUGUGGACUGGAACAGCACACCACACUGACAAAUGCAACUGUCACGUAAGACACAGGACAUUAGAUACAGGAAUCAAACUACAGCCAGCUAUCUGAGGAAAACUCUUCUUCUACCAGGCACUCAGGUUCCCCUAGCAGGAUUUUAACCAACCCUGGAAACCUGGUAAGGAUAUUUCUGCUAGUAGAUCUACACCUGUAGUGUAGGCAGGGUGCAGACAUUUUGCCGCAGUCAAACCAUAUGCAGCUUGAUUACACUUUGCUACAUUCUUGACAGCACUAAAGGAGCAUGAAGUAGCCAUUUUUUUAGUGUAAGUUUUUGUAAAAGGCACAGUACUGAAUGUUCAAGAUCACUGAGGAUCCAAAAUAUAUAUAUAUUGUGGUAAUGACCUUGAGGACAUGGAAAAGCAUGUUAUGUCACUUCAUGACAAAUAAGUAGAAUGACAUUUCAGGCCCUGUUAAUUUUACAAUGUCUUUAAAUUCAAUACAGCGCUAGGUACCAGGCCCCUUCCUACCAUGCUUUGACAGUUCUAAACUAAGCAUUGAAGGCUAGAUAUUAUAAUGCUAUAGCAUCUCCUUUUUUAUCAGUUAAAAAUUAAAG